rnacentral:rRNA from 1 species
GGGCGUAAAGGGCUCGUAGGUGGUUUGUCGCGUCGUCUGUGAAAUUCCGGGGCUUAACUCCGGGCGUGCAGGCGAUACGGGCAUAACUUGAGUACUGUAGGGGUAACUGGAAUUCCUGGUGUAGCGGUGAAAUGCGCAGAUAUCAGGAGGAACACCGAUGGCGAAGGCAGGUUACUGGGCAGUUACUGACGCUGAGGAGCGAAAGCAUGGGUAGCGAACAGGAUUAGAUACCCUGGUAGUCCAUGCCGUAAACGGUGGGCGCUAGGUGUGAGGGUCUUUUCACGGCUUUCGUGCCGUAGCUAACGCAUUAAGCGCCCCGCCUGGGGAGUACGGCCGCAAGGCUAAAACUCAAAGGAAUUGACGGGGGCCCGCACAAGCGGCGGAGCAUGUGGAUUAAUUCGAUGCAACGCGAAGAACCUUACCUAGGCUUGACAUACACCGGAUCGGGCUAGAGAUAGUCUUUCCCUUUGUGGCUGGUGUACAGGUGGUGCAUGGUUGUCGUCAGCUCGUGUCGUGAGAUGUUGGGUUAAGUCCCGCAACGAGCGCAACCCUUGUCUUAUGUUGCCAGCAUUUGGUUGGGGACUCAUGAGAGACUGCCGGGGUCAACUCGGAGGAAGGU